UACAGAGGGGGCAAGCGUUGUUCGGAAUUACUGGGCGUAAAGGGCGCGUAGGCGGCCACCGCAAGUCGACUGUGAAAUCUCCGGGCUUAACCCCGGAAAGGUCAGCCGAUACUGCGGGGCUAGAGUACUGUAGGGGCAGGCGGAAUUCCGGGUGUAGCGGUGGAAUGCGUAGAGAUCCGGAGGAAGACCGGUGGCGAAGGCGGCCUGCUGGGCAGUUACUGACACUGAGGCGCGACAGCGUGGGGAGCAAACAGG
rnacentral:rRNA from 1 species